rnacentral:lncRNA from 1 species
CCUCAUGUGGAAGGCCACCGUACUCCCUCAAAUCAAGGGUGAUGGGUCACCAUCUUGAAUCAGAGAGCCAUACCCCACAGGAGACGCUCACUAUCAUCAAGGAUGGAGUGGAGGAGCAGAUCGCAAACUUCGCCCGCGUUCUCUGGUAUGCACAACAGCACCAAUUCCAAGGUGUUCUGACACUAGUAGGGAAAACCUUAUACACAGAAGCUUACCAGUAGCGCUUUUUAAAAGGAGGCGAUGCUGCUACUUAGCAGUAGCGCGUGUACAAAAACAGUGCUACUAAUAAACUCAUAUCAAUAGCGUGGCUGUUAUAAAAUGCACUACUACUAUAAUUGCUUCACCAUUCCCGACAGGCUAGGUAUAGUAGUAGCGUCCUUCCUAAACCAGCGUUGCUGCUAUUCUACUUAGCUGUAGCACUUGGCACCAACCCACGCUGCUGCUAUGCCCAUCUUAUCCACCCCAUGCGCUCCCUCUCUCUUCCUCACUCCCGGCCCCUCACUCCCGGCCCCUCACUCCCGGCUCACACUAUCGCUCCCUCUCUACC